rnacentral:siRNA from 1 species
UGCUUCCUGCUCCGUGGAAAC